CAUUAGCUAGUUGGCGGGGUAACGGCCCACCAAGGCGACGAUGCGUAGGGGUUCUGAGAGGAAGGUCCCCCACACUGGUACUGAGACACGGACCAGACUCCUACGGGAGGCAGCAGUGAGGAAUAUUGGUCAAUGGCCGCAGGGCUGAACCAGCCAAGUCGCGUGAGGGAUGACGGUCCUAUGGAUUGUAAACCUCUUUUGUCAGGGAGCAAAGGGCGCCACGUGUGGCGCUUUGCGAGUACCUGAAGAAAAAGCAUCGGCUAACUCCGUGCCAGCAGCCGCGGUAAUACGGAGGAUGCGAGCGUUAUCCGGAUUUAUUGGGUUUAAAGGGUGCGCAGGCGGAAUGUCAAGUCAGCGGUAAAAUUUCGGGGCUCAACCCCGUCGUGCCGUUGAAACUGGCGUUCUUGAGUGAGCGAGAAGUAUGCGGAAUGCGUGGUGUAGCGGUGAAAUGCAUAGAUAUCACGCAGAACUCCGAUUGCGAAGGCAGCAUACCGGCGCUCAACUGACGCUCAUGCACGAAAGCGUGGGUAUCGAACAGGAUUAGAUACCCUGGUAGUCCACGCAGUAAACGAUGAAUACUAACUGUCCGGGCAGAAUGAUGCCUGG
rnacentral:rRNA from 1 species